UUGAAAUAAACCUGAUGGGUUGUUGCUGGUUCUUCUCUAGGGAGCAAUGUGCACACCUUGUCAUCUUUAUAUCUCCACCUGUGCACCUUUUGUAGACCUUUCAGGUCUAUGUUGCUUCAUUUACCCCCAAUGUAUGUUAAUAGGAUGUUGUGCCUAUAUAAUAUAUA
rnacentral:misc_RNA from 1 species